GAUGAACGCUGGCGGCGUGCCUAAUACAUGCAAGUAGAACGCUGAAGGAAGGAGCUUGCUCUUUCCGGAUGAGUUGCGAACGGGUGAGUAACGCGUAGGUAACCUGCCUGGUAGCGGGGGAUAACUAUUGGAAACGAUAGCUAAUACCGCAUAACAGUAGAUGUUGCAUGAUAUCUACUUAAAAGGUGCAAUUGCACCACUACCAGAUGGACCUGCGUUGUAUUAGCUAGUUGGUGAGGUAACGGCUCACCAAGGCGACGGUACAUAGCCGACCUGAGAGGGUGGUCGGCCACCCUGGGACUGGGACAACGCCCAGACUUCCACGGGAGGCAGCAGUAGGGAAUCUUCGGCAAUUGAGGGAAGUCUGGCCGAGCAACGCCGCGUGAGUGAAGAAGGUUUUCGGGUCGGAAAGCUCUGUUGUAAGAGAAGAACGAGUGUGAGAGUGGAAAGUUCACACUGUGACGGUAUCUUACCAGAAAGGGACGGCUAACUACGUG
rnacentral:rRNA from 1 species